CUGCGUGCUUGCGAUCCUGCUCGGUGCCGGACUUGGCGAGGACCUCGAGAUCGACGAGGCUAAGGGACAUGAGGCCCAGGGUGAGGCCCGACAUGAGGCCCGCGAAGAGCACGAGCACGAUGAUGAUGACGAUGUGCUCGAAAAAGGCCGCCGAGCAGCAGUGGUACUCCACCGCCAUUCACCUCCGCCGCCGGCUCCUCUCUCCCCUCCUGCUUGACGACGAGAGCCACCACCACCAGAAGCUUCUCCUCCGCUCGACCCGCGAACUCACCCCACCUCCUGCGUCGCGAGCGAUUCCGCAGUUGCCUUCUUUAUUUAGGAGCGUGGGCGCGGGCGUGCGUG
rnacentral:misc_RNA from 1 species